GAUGAACGCUGGCGGCGUGCCUAAUACAUGCAAGUCGAGCGAACGGACGAGAAGCUUGCUUCUCUGAUGUUAGCGGCGGACGGGUAAGUAACACGUGGAUAACCUACCUAUAAGACUGGGAUAACUUCGGGAAACCGGAGCUAAUACCGGAUAAUAUUUUGAACCGCAUGGUUCAAAAGUGAACGACGGUCUUGCUGUCACUUAUAGAUGGAUCCGCGCUGCAUUAGCUAGUUGGUAAGGUAACGGCUUACCAAGGCAACGAUGCAUAGCCGACCUGAGAGGGCGAUCGGCCACACUGGAACUGAGACACGGUCCAGACUCCUACGGGAGGCAGCAGUAGGGAAUCUUCCGCAAUGGGCGAAAGCCUGACGGAGCAACGCCGCGUGAGUGAUGAAGGUCUUCGGAUCGUAAAACUCUGUUAUUAGGGAAGAACAUAUGUGUAAGUAACUGUGCACAUCUUGACGGUACCUAAUCAGAAAGCCACGGCUAACUACGUG
rnacentral:rRNA from 1 species